UAGGUGACCUGCGGAAGGAUCAUUACUGAGAAACGAGGCCUCCGGGUCUCCCUCAUUAAUACCCUGCCUUCCAACAAAGUCCCCCCAAGGGGACAUUGAAUUUUAUGUUGGGAGGGUCUGGAAGGACUCUCCGACCCCUAUAAACUCUGAAUGUUUGUGCAGUCUGAGUAUAUAUUCUUAAUAUAUGAAAACUUUCAACAACGGAUCUCUUGGUUCCCGCAUCGAUGAAGAACGCAGCGAAAUGCGAUAAGUAAUGUGAAUUGCAGAAUUCAGUGAAUCAUCGAAUCUUUGAACGCACAUUGCACCCUUUGGCAUUCCGAGGGGUAUGUCUGUUCGAGCGUCAUUUAUACCUCAAGCCCUAGGCUUGGUGAUGGGCAAUGCCAGCUAUAAGGCAUGCCUGAAAAUCAGAGGCAGUGAAGCCUGAGUGCGGAAGCGUAGUGAUAAUUUUAUAACCGCUUAGGCCUCAGGUGAAGCUUGCAGAACACCAAACUUCAAUGUUUUUGACCUCGGAUCAGGUAGGGAUACCCGCUGAACUUAAGCAUAUCAAUAAGCGGAGGAAAAGAAACCAACUGGGAUUGCCUCAGUAACGGCGAGUGAAGCGGCAUCAGCUCAGAUUUGAAAUCUGGUUCUUUCAGAGCCCGAGUUGUAAUCUGUAGAGGAGUCUUCGGGUUUGGAUCUGGCCUAAGUUUCUUGGAACAGAACGUCAUAGAGGGUGAGAGUCCCGUAUGAGGCCAGCUGCCUAUUCCCAUGUGAAGCUUCUCGACGAGUCGAGUUGUUUGGGAAUGCAGCUCAAUGGGUGGUAAAUUCAUCUAAAGCUAA
rnacentral:rRNA from 1 species